rnacentral:rRNA from 1 species
GACGUAGGGCGCGAGCGUUGUCCGGAUUUAUUGGGCGUAAAGAGCUCGUAGGCGGCUUGUCGCGUCGACUGUGAAAUCCCGCGGCUCAACUGCGGGUCUGCAGUCGAUACGGGCAGGCUAGAGUUCGGUAGGGGAGACUGGAAUUCCUGGUGUAGCGGUGAAAUGCGCAGAUAUCAGGAGGAACACAGAUGGCGAAGGCAGGUCUCUGGGCCGAUACUGACGCUGAGGAGCGAAAGCGUGGGGAGCGAACAGG